GUAUAUGCAAUGUCUGUUAAGCAUGCACUAUGUAUUUCAUCCUCAUUUAUUGGGUCUGGGACUGAAGUUUUUAGCCAGCAUGGACCUAACCUACUUUUUGGGAUAAAAUUCUCUGUUUUGUUACAGGCAAAAUUCUGGUAUGGCGUGAAUGCCAUGGGUCAUUCUGAAUAUAUUUUUUUCUGUAAUUUUAUCAUUACACGAUGUUUGCAAUACGUGCUUUGUUUUUUAAUUUGAAAGCAAACUUUUCUACUGUUGAAAGACAUUUUUUGACAACUUGACCCUUCCUAGUAUUGAGUUCUAAGUUGAGGACUGC
rnacentral:misc_RNA from 1 species